GAUGAACGCUAGCUACAGGCUUAACACAUGCAAGUCGAGGGGAAACGGCAUUGAGUGCUUGCACUCUUUGGACGUCGACCGGCGCACGGGUGAGUAACGCGUAUCCAACCUUCCCAUUACUGUGGGAUAACCUGCCGAAAGGCAGACUAAUACCGCAUAGUCUUCGAUGACGGCAUCAGAUUUGAAGUAAAGAUAAUCGGUAAUGGAUGGGGAUGCGUCUGAUUAGCUUGUUGGCGGGGUAACGGCCCACCAAGGCAACGAUCAGUAGGGGUUCUGAGAGGAAGGUCCCCCACAUUGGAACUGAGACACGGUCCAAACUCCUACGGGAGGCAGCAGUGAGGAAUAUUGGUCAAUGGACGGAAGUCUGAACCAGCCAAGUAGCGUGCAGGAUGACGGCCCUAUGGGUUGUAAACUGCUUUUGUAUGGGGAUAAAGUUAGGGACGUGUCCCUAUUUGCAGGUACCAUACGAAUAAGGACCGGCUAAUUCCGUGCCAGCAGCCGCGGUAAUACGGAAGGUCCAGGCGUUAUCCGGAUUUAUUGGGUUUAAAGGGAGCGUAGGCUGGAGAUUAAGUGUGUUGUGAAAUGUAGACGCUCAACGUCUGAAUUGCAGCGCAUACUGGUUUCCUUGAGUACGCACAACGUUGGCGGAAUUCGUCGUGUAGCGGUGAAAUGCUUAGAUAUGACGAAGAACUCCGAUUGCGAAGGCAGCUGACGGGAGCGCAACUGACGCUUAAGCUCGAAGGUGCGGGUAUCAAACAGG
rnacentral:rRNA from 1 species